GAGAGGUGCUGCAUGGCUGUCGUCAGCUCGUGUUGUGAAAUGUUGGGUUAAGUCUCGCAACGAGCGCAACCCCUAUCGUCUGUUGCCAGCAUUAAGUUGGGCACUCUGACGAGACUGCCUGGGUUAACCAGGAGGAAGGUGGGGAUGACGUCAAGUCCUCAUGGCCCUUAUGUCUAGGGCUACACACGUAAUACAAUGGCGCGUACAAAGGGAAGCGAACUCGCAAGGGGGAGCGAAUCUCGAAAAGCGCGCCUCAGUUCGGAUUGAAGUCUGCAACUCGACUCCAUGAAGUUGGAAUCGCUAGUA
rnacentral:rRNA from 1 species